rnacentral:rRNA from 1 species
UGAGUAACGCGUAGGUAACCUGCCUUGUAGCGGGGGAUAACUAUUGGAAACGAUAGCUAAUACCGCAUAACAAUGGGUGACACAUGUCAUUUAUUUGAAAGGGGCAACUGCUCCACUACAAGAUGGACCUGCGUUGUAUUAGCUAGUAGGUGAGGUAACGGCUCACCUAGGCGACGAUACAUAGCCGACCUGAGAGGGUGAUCGGCCACACUGGGACUGAGACACGGCCCAGACUCCUACGGGAGGCGCAUG